rnacentral:rRNA from 1 species
GAUGAACGCUAGCGGCAGGCCUAAUACAUGCAAGUCGAGGGGUAGAAGAGGCUUGCUUCUUUGAGACCGGCGCACGGGUGCGUAACGCGUAUGCAACCUACCUUCAUCUGGGGGAUAGCCCGGAGAAAUCCGGAUUAAUACCGCAUAAAAUCACAGGAUGGCAUUAUCCAAUGAUCAAAAAUGUAUGGGAUGGAGAUGGGCAUGAGUGUCAUUAGCUAGUUGGCAGGGUAACGGCCCACCAAGGCGACGAUGACUAGGGGAUCUGAGAGGAUGGCCCCCCACACUGGUACUGAGACACGGACCAGACUCCUACGGGAGGCAGCAGUAAGGAAUAUUGGUCAAUGGAGGCAACUCUGAACCAGCCAUGCCGCGUGCAGGAAGACUGCCCUAUGGGUUGUAAACUGCUUUUAUUCGGGAAUAAACCUUAUUACGUGUAAUAAGCUGAAUGUACCGAAGGAAUAAGGAUCGGCUAACUCCGUGCCAGCAGCCGCGGUAA